GCAGAUGACCGUGGCUCAGUAGUAGAGCACAAGCUUUGCCUGCAUAAGAGCCCAGGUUCAAUGUCUGGCAUCUCCA